AGGGCACCACCAGGAGUGGAGCCUGCGGCUUAAUUUGACUCAACACGGGAAGACUUACCCGGCCCGGACACUGGAAGGAUUGACAGAUUGAGAGCUCUUUCUUGAUUCAGUGGGUGGUGGUGCAUGGCCGUUCUUAGUUGGUGGAGCGAUUUGUCUGGUUAAUUCCGAUAACGAACGAGACUCUAGCCUACUAAAUAGACUGUUCAGCUUUAUAGCCGGAAUCACCGGGCAUGUAGCUCUCACGGGUUGCGUGUUCGGCUCUGGUGACGUUGGCAGUGCUUCUUAGAGGGACAGGCGGCGGUUCAGCCGCACGAAACAGAGCAAUAACAGGUCUGUGAUGCCCUUAGAUGUCCGGGGCUGCACGCGCGCUACACUGAAGUGAUCAGCGUGCAAUUUACGUUUGGUGAUCUGUCAAGAUUGCCCAACCCGUUGAACCUUCUUCGUGAUUGGGAUAGGGGAUUGUAAUUAUUCCCCUUGAACGAGGAAUUCCCAGUAAGCGCAAGUCAUAAGCUUGCGUUG
rnacentral:rRNA from 1 species